GCACGCACGCACGCACUCGCACGCACGCACGCUCGCACGCUCACUCACACACACAGAAAAGCUGUGGGAGGCACUCUGUAGAGGGAGACUCUGUGGUGGUGAGGGUGCACUGGCUACUAGAGAGGCUGAGGCCCCCUGAGGAACCUUGGGCUCAGGAGUUCCAGGUCAGACGGGGCAGCAGAGUUAGGGUCGAAGGGGAACUGCAUUCGCUCCUGUCCUGGAAACGUUUCUCCUCAAGCAGUGAACAUUCCCUGACCCGAGCUGCACCCUGGGAAAGGAAGGAUGAACCAGCCCCCUGCUAGGAAUUCCUUACCUUGGGAUGACAACGUAAUUUUCCUUCCUGGGGAUAUUCUCGGAGAAUAAGCCUUUGUCCCAUUGAUUCCUGGCUACCCCUGACUAGUCAUUAACCAAAAGACAGCACCGCAUAGAACGCAAUAAGGCCAUUAGGUCCUUGUCACCCUGGAUUCUCAGGAGGAAAGGGGUAACAGAAAACACUGGAAUGGAGAGAUUCUUUACCCUGACUUGGAGCAAACAAUUAUCUCAUACGUCUGGCUCUUCAGCCUCUAAGAACCAGUCCGUCCCUUUCUAGAAAAUUCCUUCCUGAUUAAGUUACAGUCCAUCUCGGUUGCAUACAAAGAAAGAACUCCAGUCAUGGAGACACACUUCUGUAACCUUAGUGCCCAGGAGGCUGAGGCAGGGUGAUUACUGUCAGUUUAAGGCCAGCCUGGGCUACACAGUCUGUUUCGAAACUGAAUGUUAAGUGGUUCGUCACAGCCUUCAGAGCAAAGAACUCCUUAUUCACAAGGUUACCUAACCCGCUAGUAAAUUAUGGAGUUGAAGUUUGGUCUAACUCAGCCCAAAGGCAAGAGAUAGACUUAUAGACUCCAUCCCCUCAGUGGUUACAGCCCACAAGACAUUGUGGAUGAGCUACCUUUUCACACGUACCUAAAGGCCUUGGAGAAGAGGUGGGGUUGGGAUAAUAAGUGAGACACCAGAGGCGAAACCACACUGCAGAUGGCCCAGCCUGCCUCCAUGUGCUUACAAGGGUGCAAACCAAGGAUGAGGGUCGUGAGGGUUGAGGUGUAGAAAAGGCAGGAUGGAAGGCUGGGGCAGGCUUCAUUCAGCGCCUCAGGACUGGGCUCAGCUGCCUUUCCCUUGGAGGCCUCGCUUCUGAGGUAACAACAAAGUCACAUCUGUCUUCUUAGUGUCUCGGCUCUCAGAACCAUGGCUGUCAGCUCUGGUUAGGAUGGCUCUUCGGGAAGGAGACUUGCAGCAGAGGAAAU
ensembl:lncRNA